GAUGAACGCUAGCGGCAGGCUUAACACAUGCAAGUCGAGGGGCAGCAGGCGGUAGCAAUACUGUGCUGGCGACCGGCGCACGGGUGCGUAACGCGUAUGCAACCUACCCACUACAGGGGGAUAACGGAGGGAAACUUCCACUAAUAUCCCAUGGAGUUGUUUUUUCGCAUGGAGAGACAACUAAAGCUACGGUGGUAGUGGAUGGGCAUGCGUGACAUUAGGUAGUUGGUGAGGCAACGGCUCACCAUGCCGACGAUCGGUAGCCGGACUGAGAGGUCGAUCGGCCACAUUGGGACUGAGACACGGCCCAGACUCC
rnacentral:rRNA from 1 species